GACGAACGCUGGCGGCGUGCUUAACACAUGCAAGUCGAACGGAAAGACCCUACUUUUGUGGGGUGCUCGAGUGCCGAACGGGUGAGUAUCACGUGAGUAUCCUGCCCUUGACUUUGGGAUAACUUCACGAAACUGAGGCUAAUACCGGAUAGGAGCUCCUCCUCCAUGGUGUGGGGUGGAAAGUUUCGGCUGUUGGGGAUGGACGGGCGGGUUAUCGGCUUGUUAGUGGGGUAGUGGCUUACCAAGGCUUUGACGGGUAGCCGGCCUGGGAGGGUGGCCGGCCACAAGAGGACUGCGGGAGGGACCAGACUGCAACGUGAGGCAGUGGGCGGAAGUCUUACACAAUGAGCGGGAGUCUGAGACAGAGACCCUGGGUGCGUGAUGACCGCCUUCUGGGUGUAAACAGCUGUCGGCUGAGACGAAGCGGUAGUGACGGUAAUGGAUAAAUAAGCACCGGCUAACUACGUG
rnacentral:rRNA from 1 species